AGACGAUGGGGGCGUAUUUACCCAACAUCCUACAUCGUUACUCAUUGUAAGAAUAGGUUCUUAAUAUUGUCAAUAAAGUCG
rnacentral:tRNA from 1 species